ensembl:miRNA Mir7088 microRNA 7088
GCAAGUGGUGGUGAGGAGGGGAAACAGGCUGAGUAACAGGGGCCAUGAGGCCUCAGGCCCUGUUGACCUUCCUCUAUUGCUUCCAG